UACAGUCAUAUCUCGUUGAAACAACGGUUCUCGGCUGAUCACCAAAGUUAAGGAGCGUUGAGCCUAGCCAGUACCUAGAUGAGUGACCGCUUAGAAAUAACAAGUGUUGUAAGC